rnacentral:rRNA from 1 species
AUUGAACGCUGGCGGCAGGCCUAACACAUGCAAGUCGACCGCGUGGCGGACUGGUGCGUAAUGUCUGGGAAACUGCCUGAUGGAGGGGGAUAACUACUGGAAACGGUAGCUAAUACCGCAUACCAUCGGAUGUGCCCAGAUGGGAUUAGCUAGUAGGUGGGGUAAAGGCUCACCUAGGCGACGAUCCCUAGCUGGUCUGCGAGGAUGCCCAGCGACCGUGGAACUGAGACACGGUCCAGACUCCUAAGGGAGGCAGCAGUGGGGAAUAUUGCACAAUGGGCGCAAGCCUGAUGCAGCCAUGCCGCGUGUAUGAAGAAGGCCUUCGGGGUGUAAAGUACUUUCAGCGGGGAGGCGUUACCCGCAGAAGAAGCACCGGCUAACUCCGUGCCAGCAGCCGCGGUAAUAC